UACGUAGGUGGCAAGCGUUGUCCGGAAUUAUUGGGCGUAAAGCGCGCGCAGGCGGUCCUUUAAGUCUGAUGUGAAAUCCCGUGGCUUAACCACGGGCGGUCAUUGGAAACUGGGGGACUUGAGUGCAGAAGAGAAGAGCGGAAUUCCACGUGUAGCGGUGAAAUGCGUAGAGAUCGGGAGGAACACCAGUGGCGAAGGCGGCCUUCUGGACCAAUACUGACGCUCAUGCACGAAAGCGUGGGGAGCAAACAGG
rnacentral:rRNA from 1 species